GGGUGAUUAGCUCAGCUGGGAGAGCACCUCCCUUACAAGGAGGGGGUCGGCGGACUUUUAAUCAAUUGGUCGCAGGUUCGAAUCCUGCACGACCCACCA
rnacentral:tRNA from 1 species